rnacentral:rRNA from 1 species
AACGAACGCUGGCGGCGCGCCUAAUACAUGCAAGUCGAGCGAGAAGACGUAGCAAUACGUUUGUAAAGCGGCGAACGGGUGAGGAAUACAUGGGUAACCUACCCUCGAGUGGGGAAGUAACUAGCCGAAGGUUAGCUAAUACCGCGUACGCUCCUUGGACUUCGGUUUCAGGGAGGGAAAGACGAUACCGUGGGUAGUCGCGCUCUUGGAUGGGCGUCAUGUCCUAUCAGCUUGUUGGUGAGGAACGGCUCACCAAGGCUUCGACGGGUAGCUGGUCUGAGAGGACGAUCAGCCACACUGGCACUGCGACACGGGCCAGACUCCUACGGGAGGCAGCAGUAAGGAAUAUUGCGCAAUGGGCGAAAGCCUGACGCAGCGACGCCGCGUGGGGGGAUGAA